UCUGGAAACUGUNUGACUUGAGUGCAGAAGGGGAGAGUGGAAUUCCAUGUGUAGCGGUGAAAUGCGUAGAUAUAUGGAGGAACACCAGUGGCGAAAGCGGCUCUCUGGUCUGUCACUGACGCUGAGGCUCGAAAGCGUGGGUAGCGAACAGGAUUAGAUACCCUGGUAGUCCACGCCGUAAACGAUGAGUGCUAGGUGUUAGGCCCUUUCCGGGGCUUAGUGCCGGAGCUAACGCAAUAAGCACUCCGCCUGGGGAGUACGACCGCAAGGUUGAAACUCAAAGGAAUUGACGGGGGCCCGCACAAGCGGUGGAGCAUGUGGUUUAAUUCGAAGCAACGCGAAGAACCUUACCAGGUCUUGACAUCCCGAUGCUAUUCUUAGAGAUAGGAAGUUACUUCGGUACAUCGGAGACAGGUGGUGCAUGGUUGUCGUCAGCUCGUGUCGUGAGAUGUUGGGUUAAGUCCCGCAACGAGCGCAACCCUUAUUGUUAGUUGCCAUCAUUAAGUUGGGCACUCUAGCGAGACUGCCGGUAAUAAACCGGAGGAAGGUGGGGAUGACGUCAAAUCAUCAUGCCCCUUAUGACCUGGGCUACACACGUGCUACAAUGGUCGGUACAACGAGUUGCGAGCCGGUGACGGCAAGCUAAUCUCUGAAAGCCGAUCUCAGUUCGGAUUGUAGGCUGCAACUCGCCUCCAUGAAGUCGGAAUCGCUAGUAAUCGCGGAUCAGCACGCCGCGGUGAAUACGUUCCCGGGCCUUGUACACACCGCCCGUCACACCACGAGAGUUUGUAACACCCGAAGUCGGUGAGGUAACCUUUUAGGGGCCAG
rnacentral:rRNA from 1 species